UAUGAGUCAGUCAGAGACUAUACAAGAUGAAGACAGAAAUACAACCCCUUAUUGCACUCAGAAACCAUUGAUAGUGAUUUGUUGCAAAUAUGGGAGACCCACUGAAUUAUGUGAGACCUGGGAAAAGUAAAAAUUUGGCUAAUCUGAACAUAUUGGGAUAUUAAAUUCCUCAUUUAUAUUUACAUACUUUUCAGUCUGUUGGAAGACUGAACUGCA